rnacentral:lncRNA from 1 species
GGCCUGGGCUCCUCCUUGGCUUGACCCAGCUUAGACUUUCUCAAACCGAAGUCAUUCUCGCUGGCUCCUGGCGACUCUCAUCCUGUCCGCUGUCACCCUUUCGUGAUUGACCUGAAAUCACUUCGUCACUGCAGCCGCACCCUAAGCAUUCAUCUCAUAUCUGUGAUGUUUGCUGUGCUCCUUAUGUUUGCUCUAAUAUGGGUUAAACCAAAUUCAACACCAUCAAAAUAAUGUUCUUCCAUUUGCACACCCACUUUCACAGUAGCAGCGUUCCCAACAGCCAAAAGGUGGGAGCAGCCCACGGGUCCACGGACGGGUGAAGGGGUGAGCAAACAGUCUAUACGGACAGUGGAGAGCUCUUUAACCGCAGAAAGAAGGAAAUUCUGCAUAUGCUGCAACAUGGAUGAAAGGCGUGAACUGUACACUUAAGCAUGGUUUAAACGGCACAGAGUCUGGCUCUGGGGCCCAGGCUUGAGUGCAGUGGUGAGACGGGAGAAUAAGUCCUAGAGGAAGGGAACCUGAGGACUUCCCAGAACUAAAUCAGAUGGAGAGGAGAGAGGAGGCAUUUCAGCUACGACAGGAAAUAUCCUCUUCAUUUGCAUAGGGCGUUCACCAAGU